rnacentral:rRNA from 1 species
GACAGAGGGGGCAAGCGUUGCUCGGAAUUACUGGGCGUAAAGCGUGCGUAGGCGGUUUGUUAAGUCCGCUGUGAAAGCCCUGGGCUCAACCUGGGAAUUGCAGUGGAUACUGGCAAGCUAGAGUGCGGUAGAGGAUGGUGGAAUUCCCGGUGUAGCGGUGAAAUGCGUAGAGAUCGGGAGGAACACCUGUGGCGAAGGCGGCCAUCUGGACCAGCACUGACGCUGAGGCACGAAAGCGUGGGGAGCAAACAGG